UUUUAAUCUCUUUAACAAUGCCAUACGUUGCAUCAUUUGAAGACUUGCUAAAACAUACAUACGCAAAGAAACAUUUAACUUAAAUAUUAAGUGUUAAAAUAGAGAAAAAACAUCUUGAUCUUACAACAUAUUACACUGUAUAAUAAGGUUAUCAAAUUGUUACUUGAAAACAGAAUACCAAAUACCUUUGCUGCUAGAAUAAAGCUUCAUCCUGGUGUAAUCAUUGUAGGGCUGAUAAUAAAUGUCACGAAAUAUAUUUGAACGUGUUUUCUUCAUGGUUAAUCCUUCACUAUUACGGUCAAAAUUUAACGUCAAUUUACAGAGCACAUCGAUCCCGAAUUAAUGUAAAAUUUCUGAUAACUGUGGUAACUCGUGAACGAAGUCUGUCAAUCAAUGAAGAAAACGUUUUUUCAUAUCGAAUAGAUCAGAGAACGAGCAACGUGCUC